GGGGGGAUGAACAGCGGCAAUAACAGUUGCAGUUAAAGUUAAUGGAACAGUGACUAGAAAUAGUACAUGUAGGUCCAGCAG